rnacentral:ncRNA from 2 species
CUCUUAUUGAGAGCGGCGGAGGGACGUGCCCGAUGAAGCCCGGCAACCGUCACGGAAACGUGAAAUGGUGCCAAAUCACUCAAAGCGCAAGCGCUUUGGCAGAUGAGAG